rnacentral:rRNA from 2 species
GUGACCUCAAAUCAGGUAGGACUACCCGCUGAACUUAAGCAUAUCAAUAAGCGGAGGAAAAGAAACUAACAAGGAUUCCCCUAGUAACUGCGAGUGAAGCGGGAAAAGCUCAAAUUUAAAAUCUGGCAGUCUCUGGCUGUCCGAGUUGUAAUCUAGAGAAGUGUUAUCCGCGCUGGACCGUGUACAAGUCUCCUGGAAUGGAGCGUCAUAGAGGGUGAGAAUCCCGUCUUUGACACGGACUGCCAGGGCUUUGUGAUGCGCUCUCAAAGAGUCGAGUUGUUUGGGAAUGCAGCUCAAAAUGGGUGGUAAAUUCCAUCUAAAGCUAAAUAUUGGCGAGAGACCGAUAGCGAACAAGUACCGUGAGGGAAAGAUGAAAAGAACUUUGGAAAGAGAGUUAAACAGUACGUGAAAUUGCUGAAAGGGAAACGCUUGAAGUCAGUCGCGUUGGCCAGGGAUCAACCUUGCUUUUGCUUGGUGCACUUUCUGGUUGAUGGGUCAGCAUCAAUUUUGACUAUUGGAAAAAGGUCAAGGGAAUGUGGCAUCUUCGGAUGUGUUAUAGCCCUUAGCUGCAUACAAUGGUUGGGAUUGAGGAACUCAGCACGCCGCAAGGCCGGGUUU